rnacentral:snRNA from 9 species
AUCCUUACAUGGUGUAGGGAUACCGUGAUCAUGCAGGCGUUUUCCCCAGAGUGAGGCUGCUCCAUUGCACUGCGGUGUGGUUGACCCGUGUGAUUUCUACCGUGUGUGACUUGCACACACACAUUUUUUUAUUGCUUAGAUGGGUCGGAUGAGCCCACCUGGU